UGGGGAAUAUUGGACAAUGGGGGGAACCCUGAUCCAGCCAUGCCGCGUGUGUGAAGAAGGCCUUAUGGUUGUAAAGCACUUUAAGCGAGGAGGAGGGUACUGGUAUUAAUACUACCAGGUACUGGACGUUACUCGCAGAAUAAGCACCGGCUAACUCUGUGCCAGCAGCCGCGGUAAUACAGAGGGUGCGAGCGUUAAUCGGAUUUACUGGGCGUAAAGCGUGCGUAGGCGGCUAAUUGAGUCGGAUGUGAAAUCCCCGAGCUUAACUUGGGAAUUGCAUUGGAUACUGGUUAGCUAGAGUGUGGAAGAGGAUGGUAGAAUUCCAGGUGUAGCGGUGAAAUGCGUAGAGAUCUGGAGGAAUACCGAUGGCGAAGGCAGCCAUCUGGCCUAAUACUGACGCUGAGGUACGAAAGCAUGGGGAGCAAACAGG
rnacentral:rRNA from 1 species